rnacentral:tmRNA from 1 species
GGGGGCGUACUGGUUUCGACUGGGUAGAUACGCCGGAGGUUGCAUGCCGAGGAUGGUUCGUUGGCCUCGUAAAUCAUCGGACCAAAGAAUAACUGCUAACGAAGAAUUAGCUCUCGCGGCCUAAGUGCCCGAGCGUUGUCCCUCUGACACCUGCUAGGUGGGAACAACGCAGCAGCAGGUUAGGCUUUGAUCGGGGAUCGCGCGUGAGAAGCUGAAAAUUUUUCAUGCGGACUAUGUAAGAUCCAUCGCGUCGGGUCGGCAGGAUCGAACAGACAACUCUCUACCUGAAUAAGCAUGUAGAGGCCUCACGGUAGAUUUGCACAGGACGCGGGUUCAACUCCCGCCGCCUCCACCA